CCUGCCCAUUGAAUUAUUUAAAAGGCCGCAGUAUAUUAACUGUGCAAAGGUAGCAUAAUCAUUAGUUUUUUAAUUAAAGGCUUGUAUGAAGGGUUGGACAAAGAACAAUCUGUUUCUAUUUUUAUUUUUGAAUUUAACUUUUAUGUGAAAAGGCUUAAAUAAAUUUAAGGGACGAUAAGACCCUAUAAAUCUUUAUAUUAAAUUAUUUUUAAUUAAUUAAUAUUGUGAAUAUAAUAAUAAAAUAAUAAAUAUUAUGUUGGGGUGAUAAGAAUAUAAAAAAUAACUAUUCUAAAAUUAAAACAAAAUUAUUUGUAAAAAAUAAUAGAUCCUUUAUAGAGAUUAAAAGUUUAAGUUACUUUAGGGAUAACAGCGUUAUUUUUUUUGAGAGUUCCUAUCGAAAAAAAAGUUUGCGACCUCGAUGUUGAAUUAAAAUUUCUUUGUGGUGUAGCUAUUACAAAAGAGAGUCUGUUCGACUUUUAAAGGAGCUAGAGCU
rnacentral:rRNA from 1 species